UAAAAGAAGUGAGCUGUGUACAGGGGGGUUAAAUGCUUUAUAGACAAGAAAAAACAAACUGCGCAGAACCAAUGUAUUCAUCAUCAUCUUCUUCAUCUUCCUCUUCUUCCUCUUCUUUUCCUUAUCCUCUUCAUCUUUCACUG